GACGAACGCUGGCGGCGCGCCUAACACAUGCAAGUCGAACGAGAGAUGAGGAGCUUGCUCUUCAGAUCGAGUGGCGAACGGGUGAGUAACGCGUGAGGAACCUGCCUCAAAGAGGGGGACAACAGUUGGAAACGACUGCUAAUACCGCAUAAGCCCACGGCUCGGCAUCGAGCAGGGGGAAAAGGAGCAGUCCGCUUUGAGAUGGCCUCGCGUCCGAUUAGCUAGUUGGUGAGGUAACGGCCCACCAAGGCGACGAUCGGUAGCCGGACUGAGAGGUUGAACGGCCACAUUGGGACUGAGACACGGCCCAAACUCCUACGGGAGGCAGCAGUGGGGAAUAUUGCACAAUGGGCGAAAGCCUGAUGCAGCGACGCCGCGUGAGCGAAGAAGUAUUCGGUAUGUAAAGCUCUAUCAGCAGGGAAGAUAAUGACGGUACCUGACUAAGAAGCACCGGCUAAAUACGUAG
rnacentral:rRNA from 1 species